rnacentral:rRNA from 1 species
CCUACGGGAGGCAGCAGUGGGGAAUAUUGGGCAAUGGAGGCAACUCUGACCCAGCAAUGCCGCGUGAGUGAUGACGGUAAUUUUAUUGUAAAGCUCUUUUCUUUGGAACGAAUACAUGACGGUACCAAAGGAAUAAGCCCCGGCUAACUACGUGCCAGCAGCCGCGGUAAUACGUAGGGGGCAAGCGUUGUUCGGAAUGACUGGGCGUAAAGGGUGUGUAGGUGGUUUGAUAAGUUAGAUGUGUAAUACCCAGGGCUUAACUCGGGUGCUGCAUCUAAUACUGUUAGGCUUGAGUACUGGAGAGGUUAGUGGAAUGCAUGGUGUAGCGGUGGAAUGCGUAGAUAUUAGAAGGAACAUCGGUGGCGAAGGCGGCUAUCUGGACAGCAACUGACGCUGAGGCACGAAAGCGUGGGGAGCAAACAGGAUUAGAUACCCGGGUAGUC